rnacentral:rRNA from 1 species
UGAGGAAUAUUGCACAAUGGGCGCAAGCCUGAUGCAGCGACGCCGCGUGGGUGAAGACGGUUUUCGGACUGUAAAGCCCUUUUCUGCGUGACGAGAGUGGACGGUAGCGCAGGAAUAAGUCUCGGCUAACUACGUGCCAGCAGCCGCGGUAAAACGUAGGAGGCGAGCGUUAUCCGGAGUUACUGGGCGUAAAGCGCGUGCAGGUGGUUUAGCAAGUUACUUAUGAAAGCUCCUGGCUAAACUGGGAGAGGUUGAGUGAAACUGCUAGACUAGAGUGGAUGAGAGGUAAGUAGAAUUCCUUGUGUAGUGGUGAAAUGCGUAGAUAUGAGGAAGAAUACCAGUGGCGAAGGCGACUUACUGGCAUCCAACUGACACUCAGACGCGAAAGCAUGGGUAGCGAACGGGAUUAGAUACCCCCGUAGUCC